rnacentral:lncRNA from 1 species
GAUGACAUUACAGAGAGAAAAGAUUUUAACGUUAGAGGGCCAUGAUUUACGAGUCGGAUGGCACGCAUACCUCUGUUAUGAUAAAACAAAAUCUGAAAAGAACUUUGGAAAUCAUUUUAUUAGAUCAGCGAUUAUGAAGGUUUGGAACAAAUAUAAAGCAAGAUUGUACCCCAAAAACCCCCUCUGGCUUUCGCCGCUAGAAGCGGGACAAAGAAGAUUACUAGGCUGGGAGAAAUGGCCCACAUAUAAAGAUAUAUUAAAACAAAAGGAUGGAAAAUUAGAAAUGAAAUCCCAAGAAGAAAUUAAGGAAAACUUUAAGAACAUAUCAUGGUUCCAAUAUAGACAAUUAAGAGAGUAUUUUAAUAAGGACAAGAAGGAAGGCUUCAUGGACAAAGAAAUAUUUUGGGAUAGAAUCAUGAAUUCGGGAAAAAAAUUGAUAACAAAGAUCUAUAAAAAAAUCCUCGAAUGGCAAACUGAGAAAGAAUUUGUGAAAGAGUGUAUGACAAAAUGGGCAAUAAACUUUAAGAAAACAAUUUGUAUGGAUCAAUGGGAAAACCUGUGGAAUAAGACAUUUAAACAAAUGUACUCAUACGAUCUAAAAGAAAAUUGGAUAAAAAUGUUCCACAGGUGGUAUAUUACGCCCAAAAAAUUAGGACUAAUUAACAAAUCUCUACAGACCACCUGUUGGAAAUGUAAAAAAGAACAGGGAUCAUUCUUCCACAUGUGGUGGACUUGUGGAAAAGCGAGGAAAUUUUGGAAAGAAAUACAUGAAUUAUCACAAAAAAAUAUUAAAUAUCAAGUACCAGAUGAGACCAGAACACCUACUUCUAGGAAUUACAGAAGAAAACUGGAAAGAAAAUGAUGAACUUUUAUUAAACUAUAUGACAACGGCAGCAAGAAUUGUUUAUGCAAGGAAUUGGAGAACAGAAAUAGUACCCGACAAGAAUGAGUGGUUGAUAAAACUAAUGGAAAUUAAAAACAUGGACAAACUGUCAUAUCUCUUAGCUAAACAACAGGGAGUACCAAAGAAAAAAAACGGACUGGAACCCAUUACUGCAUUAUUUGACUAAAGAAAAAUAAAUAAAAAUAAUGUAAUUAUAUAAGGG